GAGGAAGGCACUCGGAAGGUGGGGGCAGAAAGGAAGUCGAUGAUUCGCGGAGCUUGUCGCAUCAGAACUGAGUCUCAAUAGGGCAUUCAGAAAGUCCUUCAAAUGGAGCCUCAAUUAAGAAAAUUACAACACAGGGACAAUAGCACUUUCUCCACAGACAACUGCACUUUCCCACUCAAAGGACAAGUGGUGGCUCCAGACUGUCUGAAGACAGGAGUCUGUCAAGUGUCUGCUUUAAGAAAUCAGGUGUGCUGGCUGCUCCUAACUCUCAGAAGAAUGGGGAAGGAAGAUAAAGUGAUGCCCAGCCCAGCCCACAGGACACCUCCCUGCUCCAAGCCCUGUUCCUUACAUGCUGUAAUUGCUGAACACGGCUAGCCUCUGGGACUCCUGGGCAAAGGGGGGGGGGAGAAAAUAUGGAAGGAAGAACAGGAGACAUUUAGAUCUUAAAUUACCAGAAGUCUGAAGAUAGCAAAUUAUCUCUGAGAUGUUUAUCUUCUCUCAACUAAUUUGAAAUGCUACUUUGAAAAUGUGUAAGAUCUUGUAUAUGCACCAGUCUUGGAAUAUU
rnacentral:lncRNA from 1 species